rnacentral:rRNA from 1 species
CCCUUAGAUGUUCUGGGCCGCACGCGCACUACACUGAUGCAUUCAACGAGCCUAUCCUUGACCGACAGGUCCGGGUAAUCUUUGAAUCUGCAUCGUGACGGGGAUAGAUUAUUGCAAUUAUUAAUCUUCAACGAGGAAUUCCUAGUAAGCGCGAGUCAUCAGCUCGCGUUGAUUACGUCCCUGCCCUUUGUACACACCGCCCGUCGCUCCUACCGAUUGGGUGUGCUGGUGAAAUGUUCGGAUCGGCCGUUUGUCGCGGUUUCCGCGUCAUGUGGCUGAGAAGUUCAUUAAACCCUCCCACCUAGAGGAAGGAGAAGUCGUAACA